rnacentral:rRNA from 1 species
GACAGAGGGUGCAAACGUUGUUCGGAUUUACUGGGCGUAAAGCGUGUGUAGGCGGCUUGGCAAGUUGGAUGUGAAAGCCCACGGCUCAACCGUGGAAGCGCACCCAAAACUGCUUCGCUCGAGUCUCGGAGAGGAAGGUGGAAUGCUUGGUGUAGAGGUGAAAUUCGUAGAUAUCAAGCAGAACACCUGCGGCGAAGGCGGCCUCUGGACGAUGACUGACGCUGAGACACGAAAGCGUGGGGAGCAAACAGG